UAUCUGAACGCUAGCAGACACUCAGAGACCCUGAACCCUGAGACUGGACAGAGGAAACCUGUGCAGGGGACACGGCCACAUGCUGCUCUCCAGCCUGCUGUGGGCGUCCGCCAUCUCCAUCUUUUCUGGACUCACUGUGGCCCAGAAAGUAACCCAAGACCAGACACCCGUGACCAAGCGAGAAGGGGAAAUAGUCAUCCUGGACUGUUCCUAUGAGACAAGCUGGAGCUCGUACUAUAUUUUUUGGUACCAGCAACGCUUGAGCGGAGAGAUGAUUUUCCUUAUUCGUCAGAGUUCUUCAGGUUCCGGUGGAAGGAGCGGUCGCUAUUCUAUCAGAAAAGCAACUAACUCCAUGAAUCUUGUCAUCUCAGCCUUAGAGAUGGGAGACACUGGAACAUUUUUCUGUGCUAUUUGGGCUUUGGGAACUCACAGUGUUUGAAAUGAUAGUAAAGGCCGAACAAAAACUCAGGAGUUCUCUGAGAGACAGGCCCUGCUGCAGGAGCCCAGCUGAGACUCACAGCCCAGCUGCAGAUCCCACAGGGAAGGGAGCACGGCGGUUGUUCCAUCUGUGGUCUGGAUCAGAAGAUUAAGUUCUAAGUAAAACCCUUCUGUCUUAUUUGAAAUCAGGUGUCAGUUGUAUGAUGUCUUUUGCAGUAUAUUUUGUCUAGCAUUUUGAUUCCAGAA